GUUUUAUUCUAUACGAAAUGGGAAUCUAGCUUUUAUCCGACUAAGAGAGGAAAUCUGAUUGGAUAAUUUUAAUACCAAAUUCUUACUAUAAAAUACUGCUACUGCUCUUACCCAUAAAUCUACCCUGAUUAUAAACAGAACAACAUUGGAAAGCUGUGUGCCACCUUAGCUCAGAGGCUCUGAGCUCAUGAUCUCAGCCCUGAUCCAAGCCGUCCGAGGAGGGUGGCAGGGGAGCACUGUGGCUGUCAUAGAAAUGUCAUGUAUCACACAGUGUGCUCAGAGUGAUUGCCUUAGAGGGAGGGGAAAGCUGGGCCUUUGAGUUAAGGGGCUGUGCUGAUAUCCUGGCUGUGGACUCAGCAGUUUGCUUUAAUACUUGGAAAGAGGAAAAUUACUCAGUGUUAAAAAGGGCCUCUUCUGCACUUGAAAUCAUACCAAAUAUAUAAGAUUACUUGUGAGGUCUUGUUUCUGAUGGCUCAAAAUAGGUUCUUCAAGGCCGUGGCAGUAGACAGCAGGGUCUUGCAUUCUCCAUUUUGGAAUCUUCUAAGGAGACUUGCAGAAUACCUGGCGUAUACUGGGCACUCUGUUUGCCAUACCAGUAAAUGGAACGAAUGGCACAUUCCACCAAAGAAUAACCCUGACAUAGGUUAUUCCUGCACCCUGGAAUGUUUCUUUCCCUUAAACAUCUCACACACACACACACACACACACACACACACACACACUCGCGUGCACAUGCCUCUUUCUCUCUUAACUUGGCUGAUUACCACAUGUCUUAGUCCCUUGCUGUCUAUGUCAUAAUACUUGUUAAACUGGCCCCGGGUACCCUGUGUUCUCAUCACGUUUGCAAUGGUGUUGUUUAAACAUGUGCCUUCAGGUGUUUGUGAUUAGUUGUUGAAGCUCUUGAUUUUCCUCCAUACUUUCGGCUUCCCAAGGGGAGGCCACGUCUGCGCUGUGACUGCAGUCUUUUCGGUGCGUGGCCCAGUGCCUGGGACAGGGCAGGCCCUGAUGGCAGGAACAGAGUGGCUUUCACUGAACUUGUUUCCGCUUGUCCGUGGGCACCAGCCAGCCUACCUUUCCUAGUCUCCCUUGCUGGUAAGCACGGCCAUUUGCUGGACUUCCAGCCAAUGGAAUGAGAGCGGGAGUGGUAUGUGCCCCUUCCCAGCCUUGCCUUUUAAAACGGCCAGUGUGAGACCUUCCAUGCCCUUUCCUCAUACUGUUAGGCAGUUUAGAUAGAAAUAAACACUGGGCGGGAGGAAGAGGAAGCGGAAAGGAAUAACCCAGAAAAUAACAGUAUGUCUGCAUUCAGGAUAAGGGACUCCAGAAAUUUUUACUUUCUCUAAAUGAGGGCCAGCAAAAGAAGCCAGUUAAAAUCAAAAUGCUGCAGCUGUGCAUAAGAGAAGGCAACCCCCCCCAUGUAACUUGACCCUGUGAACCUGCCCAAAAGGGGAUGGGCGUGCCAUAGCACGAGGAACCUGAGCUGUCAGUCAGCCUGAGCACGAGGAACCUGAGCUGUCAAUCAGCCUGAUUACUCAAAGAACCAGAGCCAUCAAUCAUCAAUCAAUCACAAAAAAAGCCCCUGAGCCAGGAUGUAAGAUGGAAAAACAAAGGGGCGGCGCUGUUUUCCUCUCUUGGAGCGGCCCGCUCCCAAUUCUUGGGAGUGUCCUAUCUUUUACUACUUUUUGACUUUACUAAUAAUCUGCUUAUAUCAUGCUUUCUGUCUCUCGUUCUCUUUUUUCGGGUGACUAAGAACCGAGGUAAUUCUUACUCUCCCCUAUCCCGGUAACAGCCCCACUGGCUUGUGGGAGGCGAGUGCGGUGAUUUUGGAAGCUGUAUACUGAGCAUGGUGAAGCCACAAGACAGAAGGAAACCGAGUCCCUGAACCAUCACUUAGAAUAAAGCCGUGACCAACAGGAUCACCUGUGUAGACUAUACUCGAAGGAGAAACUUCUGUUGUUUUCAAGCUUUUAUAUUUUUAUGUAUUUGGGCUUAUUUGUCACAAUGGGUAGAACUGUCUCAAUUAAUAUGAUAAUCAUUUUGUGUGUGUGUGCGUGGAAUUAAUAGAUGCAUACAGAGAAGCAGAUAUCUGGGUACGGAUUGUAGCACUAGGAAUCUGGAGGCCUCCCUUAUGCCGGUCUUCAAGGUACUGAAAGACGCAUGAUUCCGUGGGUGAGAAUGAGACGCUGUCCCAGCAAGCUAAUGUUCCCGUGCAGCCUUGAAACAAAUCCUUUAGGCUGGAGGUAAAGCCUUGCUCCCUCUUUGUACCUAUAAAAGUCCUCUCUUCUCUGACACCUAACUCUCCCAGGUGCUAUAGACUGAUUGUUUGUGUUCCCCCCAAAUUCAUUUGUUGAAAUCCUAGCCCUCAGUGUGAUGGCAUUGGGAGGUGGCUGGGUUGUGAGGGCUCUGCUUUUACUAUAAUAUUUUAUGUAAGAAUUUGAUAACAGUGGGAUUAACGUCCUCAUAACGCAGAUGGCACUGAGUUCCCUCGCUCCCUCCUCCAUGUGAGGAGAUGGCUGUCAGUGAGCUAAGAAGUGGGCCUUCAUCAGACGCUCUGUCUGUUGGUACCUUGGACCUUGGACUCCCCAGCCUCCAGAACGGUGAGAAAUAACUUUCUGUUGUUUAUGAGACACUCAGUCUUUGGUAUUUUUUUAUAGCACCGAACAUGCAUGCCCUAGUGCCCUCUACUCCAAAAUGAUCCUCCCUUCCUUCCAGCACCAUUGCAAAAUCCAACAUUUUACCAGGAAUUAAUGAUCUUUUGAAACCAACUUAUAUUAAGGAAUAAACCACUGCUUUCUGCUUUACUUCUACAGAGAGGAUAUGCAUUUUAGGAAGAAUGGCAAUAAUUGGUCUUUUAAAAAACAUUUAUUUUUUGUUUUGAUUGAAGUAUAGUUGAUUUACAAUGAGUUAGUUUCAGGUGUACAGCAGUGAUUCAAUUAUAUACGUGUAUGCACAUAUAUAUUCUUUUUCAGAUUCUUUUCCGUUAUAGGUUAUUACAAGAUAUUGAAUAUAGUUCCCUAUAAUUGGCCUUUAAUUGCUGAAAUUUUAGGAGUAGAUUAAAACAAAGCAAAGUUUAUUAAGCAGUGACAGGCAGUUUACACUCUCAUCAUCCUGAAGUAUUUGCCGUGCUCCAUUCAGAAUGCAGAGGAGAAGCGUAGAGGGAGUCUCAGGUCUUGAAAAAAAUACAGAACUGCCUUCCCAGCCCUGGACUUCAACCUCUGAACUUCCAUUAUUGAAGGAAAAUGACUCUUAACUGAAAUAGGUACAGUGUGCUGCCUCCAGAAUGUUGAAUAUGAGGAGACCAAGAGGAGAGGGUGGGAAGCUACAUGUUAAGGGGCCAGGACUGUGGACAUACUUGGUCAUGGGUUUAGUCUGACACAGCUGUAAGAGAUGAGACAACCGAAAAAAUUCUACUCCACCUGCAACUUCAGAAGAGUAGAACCUGGUGAUGAAGGCCAGACUUGAGGGACCAGAAGAAUCUGAGAUGUCCUUGCCAGCUUCCUCCACUCCCAGGUCUAAGAACUAAAGACUCAACCCAUCCAGUAUAUUAGGACAUUAAAGGACUGGUUCUUGCUAUGAAUGAAGUCUGGAUAAAGUGUGUUACUUCCCGAUGGAUGUUAGGUAAGUCUUGGCUGAUUACAGCAUCCUGCUGCCUCUAUGAACCCUGGGCUGUUGCCUCCAUGCCUCACCCUCCCCAUCUAUGAACCGUCUGCUUGACUGACCGAGGAGCUCAGUUCUCCAGUACCUUGAGGACUAGAGCCCAACCCUACCUUCCAAGAUGGUUAGUUGGGAUUCAAAGCCACUUUAUCCAACAGCCCCCUUUCCUACGGAGCUAAAUUUAGACAGACUUUCUUGAUUUAUAACUGAGAUGCCUACCAACAUCACCUCACUUAAUACUGACAAUAAACUCAGAGAGAGACAUACAAGUGGAGAGAGAGAGAAUGGAGAAGAGAGAGAGACAAUCAUAAUCUUCAUAGUUUAGGUCAAACUGAGGUCCAUCCAUCCCAGACAGUGUCACUACAAGGAGAGGGGCUCCAGCGGACACUGGACUGAGACAUAAGUAAAAAAGAAUUUCUUAUUACGUUGAAACAACUGAGAUUUGGGGACUUUUCUUCUAGCAGGUCCUCGCCUAUGCUAACCAACCAAUGUAAGAAACUUACUAGAUUACAGAACCAAUCAUUGGUAAAGCCUCUGCUUGAUUUCUUAAUUAUCACUUUUAUUUUUAUCAGAUGUUCUACCGAACCCGGUUUUUGCACCACUCCGUAUCCUCUUGGCCAUGGUCUUUUGCUUGAUGCUACUGAUGGCCCUCUGGGAAGAUCGCCUGACAGCACCUGUAUUCUCACAGGCUGAAGAGGGGAGGUUUUGAUCUCUGGUUCUGUGGUGACCUUUGUGGCAGGGCCAGUUGUCAGGGCACUCCACCUGUUCCCAGCCUUCCCUGUUAACCUGUGGCUCCCCUGCUGCUGUGGAGACAGGAAGCAGCAUGGAGCCCUGAGAUUCAGAGUGAUGCCUGCACACUGUCUCAUCGUGAUUCUGCCCCCUCUCCCCCCACCUCAGACUCCCCCACUGGCUAGUGACUCACAGCCCAGGUACUGCCAGGGGCUGGCUUCCUGUAUCCGGGGAUCAGGCUUCCCUGAGGUUGCUGAGGGGCUCAGUAAUGCAAGUUGGACUUGUGAGGGAGCUGGUGCCCCCAUGGGAUAAACUUUACCAGUGCGAUAAUUCUCCCUUUCUUUCUCCCAUAUUUAGCUUGUAUGGAGAAGCAGUCUCUCUGAAGACAUCUCCUGAGACUGAAUUGUGACCAGCUUGAGUCACCUCAUUGUCCAAGACGGCUGCUGGAGCAAUAUCACAUCUGCAUUCCAGGCUGGCAGCAGGAGGAAGCAGCAUGGGAAGAAAGGACUCAGUUUCCAGUCUUUGGUCAUGGGGUUGGCUCAUCUUAACCAUCUACCCAUCAAGACCCACAUCAAAAGCCAAUGCCGUCAUGAAGUCUUUCCUGGAUCCCCUUAGAGCCAUCACGUGGUCUGAAGCCACCGUCCAUGGAAGGAUCAAUGACCUUGCUGGCAGAGGAAAAUAAACCCCAGCAGCUGGAGCUGCAAGCCAUCUGUCUUCAGCUAUUUCACAUUUUGUCAAAAAUCAUCAGCAUAGCUGGAAAAUAGCAGUGACCAACAAAGUACGAUCAAAUGGAAUACCCAAACUGCUUAUUCACAGAUAAAAUAUUUUAAAGAAAAAGAAACGAAAUUUGCAGUAAGUCAUGUCCUCAGGUUUGGGACACUAACCCCCUCCUGCCAGAGUUCAAAGUCUCUCCAGCUUCAAGCAUCAGAGGGUACGUGAUGCUCCUGUGGGCGCUGUGUAUUGUUCCAUCUUGACAGAGGGGCUCUCCCCUUAUCCAUGAAUCCUCUACUUUUUACUUUGAGUUUUCUCUGGAUAUAUGCCCAGGAGUGGGAUUGCUGGAUCAUAUGGAGCAGUGAUUUUGGGCUCCAGUUAGGUGAUGAAUUCUGUUGAGAAACCUCAGAGGAAGAAGGCACAUCUACAUUGCGGUCUAAAGGACGCAGUUGGCCGUAACUCAGAAAACGAGCCUCCCUAAUAGCAAUGCCCAGGGAAGGGGAGGCAGCACAACUCAGCACUGCAUCGUCCAUGCUCCGCGGCCACUGCCAACUGGAAAAGAAUGGCUGAACUGUGGUGACUGACAGAAGGCAUUCCCACGGCAUGUGUGAAAAUCGAAGGCUGCCUAGUUGAGCUUCUUUGACAUAAUCAGUUCAAGGUCAUAUGGUUUGCUGAGUUCCCACUUGAUGAAUUCUAUUCUGACGUAAGGACUGGAGGGAUGAAAGGGGAAAAUGAUGAGGAGACUGACCAAAAGCAAGUACCCCAGAUACUGCUAUCAGAGAAGCAGUCAGGUUGGAAUGUCAUGGAAGAUGGAUGAACUGCAUUCCAGUACAAGCCCAGAAACUUGGGAAAAUAUAACCUGCAUGGAAGAGAGCAAUGUUUCUUUUCAGCUGUGAAAAUCAACUCACAGAAACAAAAAUUGGAGAAAAGUAACAUGGUACUUUGCAUUCAGUGACUCCACUGUCACUAAAAAUAGUACAAGUGAUGCUGCAUUUUUCUUCUCUCCAUAACGAAUGGCCUAACUGCAUUUGGUAAUUGCAUAUGACUGAAGAUAAUGUAAUUGAAAAUGAACUGUGGCUUUGCUUUUUGCAAAUGCAGGCACCUUGGGUUUCUCAUUUGUUUCUUAUAUUUAUUCUUGCCACUAUGAUGAGAGGAAGUUCCUCAACACUUAAGAUUCCCCUCCAUGGAAAUCCAUGGGGUCACACUGUCACCAUUAAGUGUCAACAAGCCAGGAACAAUUUGAUGUUAUCCCUUGA